rnacentral:pre_miRNA from 1 species
GGGGAGUGCCAGAUCCUGGGCUGUGUCCCCAGGCUCCCUGGGCUCCGGGGCCUGCACCGCUGGAAUCACUCUCCCGGGCAGCGCAGCUCCCU